rnacentral:rRNA from 1 species
UACGGGGGGAGCAAGCGUUGUUUGGAUUUACUGGGCGUAAAGGGCGCGUAGGCGGCCAGCACAAGUCAGUUGUGAAAUCUCCGAGCUUAACUCGGAACGGUCAACUGAUACUGUGCGGCUAGAGUGCGGAAGGGGCAACUGGAAUUCUUGGUGUAGCGGUGAAAUGCGUAGAUAUCAAGAGGAACACCUGCGGCGAAGGCGGGUUGCUGGGCCGACACUGACGCUGAGGCGCGAAAGCUAGGGUAGCAAACGGG